AACGUAGCGAGGUAACGAGAAGCUGCCGAUGAAAUCCGAGGCCGUGGAUUCAUUCAAGACAAGAGUCCAAGUCUCGGGCGAAGCCAGGCAAAACAGGGUGGUGCUUUUUGAUAUGACAAAACUGGGUGAUGUUCAAUGUGGACAAAUGUCAAAACUGGGUGAAGGUGUACGAUUUAAUGUAUCAUUUUGUACACGUUUAGGUCCUUGCGUUAUUCAUCCAUAUGUCGCCACAGAUUUAGAGCAUUCCAAAUGAUGUUUCUCGUGGCUCAUGUUCCAUACCUUGCACCACAAACUUCCCGUUUGCAUACUGGCACAGUGUGCCAGCUCGCUUACUUGCCGUUUGUAUACUGGCACAGUGUGCCAGCUCGCUACUACAGUAACACUUACUUGCCAUAUGUAUACUGGCACAGUGUGCCAGCUUGCAACUACAGUAACACUUUCAGCUCGCGAACAUACACGAACUUGCCAUUUGUAUACUGGUACAGUGUGCCAGCUUGCAUGCUACACCUACUACAGUAGAACAACGGUAGAUAGUGUUUGCGUCGAGAAGUAUGGUGCUGCACACUUAGAACAAAAC